rnacentral:rRNA from 1 species
AUGCUAACUGACCGAACCAGACGUGACUCCACCAUCAUGAAACAUGGUUUUCGACGAACAGCUGCGAACGGAAACCAUGGCGUCGUCUCGUCAGCAAGACACUCAUGGGAGUCAGCAAGACUGCUUUCUUUCUUACACGAUUACGGCGAAAGCAACUCGUGUACCAGCACGAGCCGUGUUGUCAAUCGACUAACAACCAAAGCAGGUCGUGUUGAUGGCUCGACCUCGACUCAAUGUGGUAGUUUACAUAUGGUCCCUUUUGGCGUUGUACCGGUGGUGACAUCUUUGGUGUUGUGCUCUUCUCUCUAUGUAAUUUGUAAUGGAUACACACACAACUCUCCUGCGUGUUUUGAAGAAAAAAUGGUCUCUCUCUCUCCCUUGACUGAGAAUCGAACUGGUUGUCCAACCAAAUGUGUGAUGGAAUCUCUGUCCCUUUCCUCUUUCUUUUAA